rnacentral:rRNA from 1 species
GAUGAACGCUAGCGGCAGGCCUAAUACAUGCAAGUCGAACGGUGUAGCAAUACACAGUGGCGCACGGGUGCGUAACACGUAUGCAACCUACCUUACAUUGGGGGAUAGCCUUUCGAAAGGGAGAUUAAUACCGCAUAAGACAGUAACUUGGCAUCAAGUAGCUGUUAAAGAUUUAUCGAUGUAAGCUGGGCAUGCGUCCAAUUAGUUAGUUGGCGAGGUAAUGGCUCACCAAGACGAUGAUUGGUAGGGGAACUGAGAGGUCAAUCCCCCACACUGGCACUGAGAUACGGGCCAGACUCCUACGGGAGGCAGCAGUAGGGAAUAUUGGGCAAUGGACGCAAGUCUGACCCAGCCAUGCCGCGUGCAGGAAGAAGGCGUUAUGCGUUGUAAACUGCUUUUAUAUAGGAAGAAACGACCCUUGCGAGGGGCAUUGACGGUACUAUAUGAAUAAGCACCGGCUAACUCCGUGCCAGCCGCCGCAGUAACAC